UAAACAACCUGCCUUCAGGAUGGGGACAACAGACGGAAACGACUGCUAAUACCGGAUAAGUUCCAAGGGCCGCAUGGCCCAUGGAAGAAAAGGUGGCCUCUACCUGUAAGCUAUCGCCUGAAGAGGGGUUUGCGUCUGAUUAGCUGGUUGGAGGGGUAGCGGCCCACCAAGGCGACGAUCAGUAGCCGGUCUGAGAGGAUGAACGGCCACACUGGAACUGAGACACGGUCCAG
rnacentral:rRNA from 1 species